rnacentral:rRNA from 1 species
GAGUUUGAUCGUGGCUCAGAGCGAACGCUGGCGGCAGGCUUAACACAUGCAAGUCGAGCGGGCGUAGCAAUACGUCAGCGGCAGACGGGUGAGUAACGCGUGGGAACAUACCUUUUGGUUCGGAACAACACAGGGAAACUUGUGCUAAUACCGGAUAAGCCCUUACGGGGAAAGAUUUAUCGCCGAAAGAUUGGCCCGCGUCUGAUUAGCUAGUUGGUGAGGUAACGGCUCACCAAGGCGACGAUCAGUAGCUGGUCUGAGAGGAUGAUCAGCCACAUUGGGACUGAGACACGGCCCAAACUCCUACGGGAGGCAGCAGUGGGGAAUAUUGGACAAUGGGCGAAAGCCUGAUCCAGCCAUGCCGCGUGAGUGAUGAAGGCCCUAGGGUUGUAAAGCCCUUUUGUGCGGGAAGAUAAUGACGGUACCGCAAGAAUAAGCCCCGGCUAACUUCGUGCCAGCCGCCGCAGUAAG